CGGGUGCUUGCACCUGGUGGCGAGUGGCGAACGGGUGAGUAAUACAUCGGAACAUGUCCUGUAGUGGGGGAUAGCCCGGCGAAAGCCGGAUUAAUACCGCAUACGAUCUACGGAUGAAAGCGGGGGACCUUCGGGCCUCGCGCUAUAGGGUUGGCCGAUGGCUGAUUAGCUAGUUGGUGGGGUAAAGGCCUACCAAGGCGACGAUCAGUAGCUGGUCUGAGAGGACGACCAGCCACACUGGGACUGAGACACGGCCCAGACUCCUACGGGAGGCAGCAGUGGGGAAUUUUGGACAAUGGGCGAAAGCCUGAUCCAGCAAUGCCGCGUGUGUGAAGAAGGCCUUCGGGUUGUAAAGCACUUUUGUCCGGAAAGAAAUCCUUGGUUCUAAUAUAGCCGGGGGAUGACGGUACCGGAAGAAUAAGCACCGGCUAACUACGUGCCAGCAGCCGCGGUAAUACGUAGGGUGCGAGCGUUAAUCGGAAUUACUGGGCGUAAAGCGUGCGCAGGCGGUUUGCUAAGACCGAUGUGAAAUCCCCGGGCUCAACCUGGGAACUGCAUUGGUGACUGGCAGGCUAGAGUAUGGCAGAGGGGGGUAGAAUUCCACGUGUAGCAGUGAAAUGCGUAGAGAUGUGGAGGAAUACCGAUGGCGAAGGCAGCCCCCUGGGCCAAUACUGACGCUCAUGCACGAAAGCGUGGGGAGCAAACAGGAUUAGAUACCCUGGUAGUCCACGCCCUAAACGAUGUCAACUAGUUGUUGGGGAUUCAUUUCCUUAGUAACGUACCUAACGCGUGAAGUUGACCGCCUGGGGAGUACGGUCGCAAGAUUAAAACUCACAGGAAUUGACGGGGACCCGCACAAGCGGUGGAUGAUGUGGAUUAAUUCGAUGCAACGCGAAAAACCUUACCUACCCUUGACAUGGUCGGAAUCCCGCUGAGAGGUGGGAGUGCUCGAAAAACAACCGGCCCACAAGUGCUGCAUGGCUGUCGUCAGCUCGUGUCGU
rnacentral:rRNA from 1 species